rnacentral:pre_miRNA from 1 species
GGGCAGUGUAUUGUUAGUUAGCUGUUUUUCUUAUUUUCCAGCAACUGCAUACACUUCCACA